AACGCACCUUGCACUCCUUGGUAUUCCGAGGAGUAUGCCUGUUUGAGUGUCAUUAAAUUCUCAAGAUCUUAAAUUGUUGUAAUGACGAGGCAAGAUUUUGGAUGUGGAGAUUGCAGGCUCUCGUAGUUUGCUUCUCUUAAAAGCAUUAGUGGUUACUGUUCCCCACUUUGGUGUGAUAAUUAUCUACGCCUUGUAGGUGGGGAUGUUAAGUGUAGCUGCCUUCGAACAGUCUAGGAAUACUGGACAAUUUGAACCAUUUGACCUCAAAUCAGGUAGGAUUACCCGCUGAACUUAA
rnacentral:misc_RNA from 1 species